CACACGUACCCAUCCCGAACACGACCGUUAAGCCCUCCAGCGCCGAUGGUACUUGGACCGCAGGGUCCUGGGAGAGUAGGACGCCGCCAAGC
rnacentral:rRNA from 2 species